AGCGAACGCUGGCGGCAGGCCUAACACAUGCAAGUCGAACGAACCUUUCGGGGUUAGUGGCGGACGGGUGAGUAACACGUGGGAACGUGCCCUUAGGUUCGGAAUAACUCAGGGAAAGUUGUGCUAAUACCGAAUGGGCCCUUCGGGGGAAAGAUUUAUCGCCUUUAGAGCGGCCCGCGUCUGAUUAGCUAGUUGGUUGAGGUAAUGGCUCACCAAGGCGACGAUCAGUAGCUGGUCUGAGAGGAUGAUCAGCCACAUUGGGACUGAGACACGGCCCAAACUCCUACGGGAGGCAGCAGUGGGGAAUAUUGCGCAAUGGGCGAAAGCCUGACGCAGCCAUGCCGCGUGAAUGAUGAAGGUCUUAGGAUUGUAAAAUUCUUUCACCGGGGACGAUAAUGACGGUACCCGGAGAAGAAGCCCCGGCUAACUUCGUG
rnacentral:rRNA from 1 species